GCCUACGGCCAUACCACCCUGGAAACACCAAUUCUCACCUGAUCUCUGAAGCUAAGCAGGGUCAGGCUUGGUUAGUACUUGAAUGUAACCAUGAAAUGGUAUAGUUC
rfam:Colinus virginianus strain Texas jcf7180006221703, whole genome shotgun sequence.